rnacentral:rRNA from 1 species
AAACGACUCUCGACAACGGAUAUCUCGGCUCUCGCAUCGAUGAAGAACGUAGCGAAAUGCGAUACUUGGUGUGAAUUGCAGAAUCCCGUGAACCAUCGAGUCUUUGAACGCAAGUUGCGCCCAAAGCCAUUAGGCCGAGGGCACGUCUGCCUGGGUGUCACGC